ACCUCUCUUUCCAUUUUCCGAUUUGAAUCCGUGAAGAUAUAACAAAGAGACAAAGAGUUGUUUUGCUUCAAAUAGCAAAAGAAGAUCGUUACUCUCUUCUUUCGGUGAGUUUUCUUUCUAAAUUUAUUUACUCUCUCAGUGUAUCAUAAGAUUCACUCUCUUACUGUAUCAUAAGAUUCACUCUCUUAUUGUAUCAUAAAACCUC
rnacentral:lncRNA from 1 species